ACGGGAGGCAGCAGUGGGGAAUAUUGCACAAUGGGGGAAACCCUGAUGCAGCGACGCCGCGUGAGUGAAGAAGUAUCUCGGUAUGUAAAGCUCUAUCAGCAGGGAAGAAAAUGACGGUACCUGACUAAGAAGCCCCGGCUAACUACGUGCCAGCAGCCGCGGUAAUACGGAGGAUCCGAGCGUUAUCCGGAUUUAUUGGGUUUAAAGGGUGCGUAGGCGGCAUCUCAAGUCUGUGGUGAAAUGUCAGGGCUCAACCUUGGCACUGCCAUGGAAACUGGGGGGCUAGAGUGCGUUUGGGGUGCAUGGAAUGUGUGGUGUAGUGGUGAAAUGCAUAGAUAUCACACAGAACGCCGAUCGCGAAGGCAGUGCACCAAGCCGCGACUGACGCUGAGGCACGAAAGUGCGGGGAUCGAACAGGAUUAGAUACCCUGGUA
rnacentral:rRNA from 1 species